rnacentral:rRNA from 1 species
GGGAUUCUUAGAGGGACUAUUGGCGUUUAGCCAAUGGAAGUUUGAGGCAAUAACAGGUCUGUGAUGCCCUUAGAUGUUCUGGGCCGCACGCGCGCUACACUGACGAAUGCAACGAGCUUAUAACCUUGGCCGAAAGGUCUGGGUAAUCUCCAAAUUUCGUCGUGAUGGGGAUAGAUUAUUGCAAUUAUUAAUCUUCAACGAGGAAUGCCUAGUAAGCGCAAGUCAUCAGCUUGCGUUGAUUACGUCCCUGCCCUUUGUACACACCGCCCGUCG